GAACAAUAAAUUAGAAAAAGUACACCUCCCCGUCGGGGAAUUGAACCGCGGUCUCCCGCGUGACAGGCGGGGGGACUCACCACUAUACUAACGAGGAGCUACUACCUACUGUAACAUCUUUAUUUACGUGUGUCAUAUUCCCUAUACUGCGAUCCGUCGCUCCAGCCUCUCAGAGUGUUUAGGGAAAAACUGGAACUUGGAGCUGUAGCCUUCAGGAUGCUUUCCGGGGUCGUAGUCACCGAUCUCAGCUAAGGGAGGAAACGGGAAAGGUGAACUUGAAUUAAGGAAGACGAGAUAUCUGCAAAGACAAGAAGAUAAAAUAUCCAUAUCUGACAAUCGGACAAGGAGCCUUAGCUUGACCAUAAAGUGAAAGAAAAAAGGGAAAAAGGAAAGAAGUCAAGAAAAAAAAAAUACCCUGAAGGAAAAACUGCUGCUGCUGUUGCUAAUGCUGUGGUGAAGCCUCCACCCUCAGCUGCACAGAUAAAACUCCGGAAUUCAUUCUGCUGCACCUACGGUCGCAUGGGUUGAUGAAAUCAAAAGGCCCAAAAUUCACCUGCUAAUCAAACAUGGAAGAGGAAAUUCCCUCGAUGUGCCGCGCAAACCAGAGGAGAGGCUUCGUACCCGAUUUAGCUCCUCGCCAAAAACCCCAUCCGUGGUUUCCAGGCAGCAGUAUCAUAGCAACAGUGGUUUCCUUGAGCUUGGAGCGUCUCCUCCGUCACAGCCUUCAGUUUCUCCAACAGGAGCCCUCUGAAUGAAGGUCGCCACACACACAGUGACUGAAUGAGGCCAGUGGAGUCACACAGACCACAGAUAUGUCACCAGCCCUGAAGGAUCAUGGGAGUCCAGGUGGAAACCAGUCCAGACUGCAGAGUUUUAAGAAUACAGCCAGUCAGACAAAUGGCGUUCUGGGCCUGGAGCAUUUCAAAAUCAUCACGGUCGCCAGGCUUGAAGACAGAUGGGUGUACCGGUCUUCCCAGAGACAUGUAAGAUCUCGGAACUGAAAACACAUACAAGUAGAUUAUAACCUGUCACCCCGUACAGCAUCAUCACAAGCUCUUAACAAACAACAAGACACGACGAAUCCAGUGAUGAAAAGACACCGCGGCGGCCUGGAGGACAUGCCUGGACUGUCCUGCCUCUGCCCUCUCUCUGCUGUAGCUGUGAGAGAGGCCACGCUGAUGUAAUCCUCCAUCACAGGCAGCCAUGUGGCCCAGGAUCGACCAAUCCUAACGCUGCUGCGCAGUGAUGCUGGUAAACACCAGCGAUUGUCAUCAGAGCUGAUUCAAGCAAAACUACUGAAGGUCCUGACAUGUAAGGUCAGCAGAGGAAGACAUGCGAGAUGAUGUCAUCACAGUCGGACUCGUACUGUCAGUCACAACAUGUCUCCUCAAAGAUCAGCAACUGCAACUGCACUGCAGGUGUCACUGCGUCGUGUUACCACCAAAAAGGGACCGUGUCACUGCAACAAAACAAGCGCAAGGCGCCGACUGACUCAGCGUAAAGGUGUGCUGCUCAGAGCCACGGUGCAGUCCUGGGCCUGGGGGCUGAUGGUCUUCACAGUGGCAAAAAUAACCAAGACGUUGGAGAACAAAGCCGAGAAACUGACUUCAACUUCUACGCCACAGGGAAACCUCAGGCACUGCUUCUCUGGAAGUUCUAAAAGAAGAUGUGAAGAAGUUAAAUGGAGCCGUCCCCUUUCUGUGAAUGAGGCUAAAAAUGUGACAUCAAACCACAGCGACUGUAGUAGGUUUGUCAGAUGAUGAGAGGUGAGGAUGAUUUUUACUCACUUCUCCACCUCAGUCAAGUGAAAGUUAGCAGUUGAAUUGCACCUGCGUUUUAACGCCUGUGAAAAAACACUGUAGGGAUUUUUUUUUUUUUGCUCUCUCUUACUGUUUGCUUGUCUCCAGCAGGCGUCUCGCAGGCGUAGCUCCUGUGUGUGGCCCGUGGUCCGGAUGGGAUCCGUGAGGGAGCGAGGUUCCUUCAGGGCGUCCAGGAGGAUGACACUCAGUGCCGUCUGUCUCUGCUGCAUGCUGAUCAUGAUCCUCUGUACACACACACAGUUUUCAGGACGGUACGGCUGAGGAGCGUCAACCGCCACGAGCAGCUGAAUGAACCUCUCGAUGGCCGCCAGCAUCUCGUCUCUGGUGAGGUCCAGCAGGGAGACCACUCUGAAGCCCAGCUGCCGCCGCAGGUUAGCCAAAUUG